UUGAACGCUGGCGGCAGGCCUAACACAUGCAAGUCGAGCGGAUGAAGGGAGCUUGCUCCUGGAUUCAGCGGCGGACGGGUGAGUAAUGCCUAGGAAUCUGCCUGGUAGUGGGGGAUAACGUCCGGAAACGGGCGCUAAUACCGCAUACGUCCUGAGGGAGAAAGUGGGGGAUCUUCGGACCUCACGCUAUCAGAUGAGCCUAGGUCGGAUUAGCUAGUUGGUGGGGUAAAGGCCUACCAAGGCGACGAUCCGUAACUGGUCUGAGAGGAUGAUCAGUCACACUGGAACUGAGACACGGUCCAGACUCCUACGGGAGGCAGCAGUGGGGAAUAUUGGACAAUGGGCGAAAGCCUGAUCCAGCCAUGCCGCGUGUGUGAAGAAGGUCUUCGGAUUGUAAAGCACUUUAAGUUGGGAGGAAGGGCAGUAAGUUAAUACCUUGCUGUUUUGACGUUACCAACAGAAUAAGCACCGGCUAACUUCGUGCCAGCAGCCGCGGUAAUACGAAGGGUGCAAGCGUUAAUCGGAAUUACUGGGCGUAAAGCGCGCGUAGGUGGUUCAGCAAGUUGGAUGUGAAAUCCCCGGGCUCAACCUGGGAACUGCAUCCAAAACUACUGAGCUAGAGUACGGUAGAGGGUGGUGGAAUUUCCUGUGUAGCGGUGAAAUGCGUAGAUAUAGGAAGGAACACCAGUGGCGAAGGCGACCACCUGGACUGAUACUGACACUGAGGUGCGAAAGCGUGGGGGGCAAACAGGAUUAGAUACCCUGGUAGUCCACGCCGUAAACGAUGUNACUAGCCGUUGGGAUCCUUGAGAUCUUAGUGGCGCAGCUAACGCGAUAAGUCGACCGCCUGGGGAGUACGGCCGCAAGGUUAAAACUCAAAUGAAUUGACGGGGGCCCGCACAAGCGGUGGAGCAUGUGGUUUAAUUCGAAGCAACGCGAAGAACCUUACCUGGCCUUGACAUGCUGAGAACUUUCCAGAGAUGGAUUGGUGCCUUCGGGAACUCAGACACAGGUGCUGCAUGGCUGUCGUCAGCUCGUGUCGUGAGAUGUUGGGUUAAGUCCCGUAACGAGCGCAACCCUUGUCCUUAGUUACCAGCACCUCGGGUGGGCACUCUAAGGAGACUGCCGGUGACAAACCGGAGGAAGGUGGGGAUGACGUCAAGUCAUCAUGGCCCUUACGGCCAGGGCUACACACGUGCUACAAUGGUCGGUACAAAGGGUUGCCAAGCCGCGAGGUGGAGCUAAUCCCAUAAAACCGAUCGUAGUCCGGAUCGCAGUCUGCAACUCGACUGCGUGAAGUCGGAAUCGCUAGUAAUCGUGAAUCAGAAUGUCACGGUGAAUACGUUCCCGGGCCUUGUACACACCGCCCGUCACACCAUGGGAGUGGGUUGCUCCAGAAGUAGCUAGUCUAACCGCAAGGGGGACGGUUACCACGGAGUGAUUCAUGACUGGGGUGAAGUCGUAACAAGGU
rnacentral:rRNA from 1 species